CAGCGAGCCAGGAGUCUCAGGGCUCAGCUGCAUCCCCC
rnacentral:piRNA from 1 species